rnacentral:rRNA from 1 species
GCAAGUCGAGGGGUAACAUUGUAGCUUGCUACAGAUGACGACCGGCGCACGGGUGCGUAACGCGUAUACAAUCUACCUUUUGCUGAGGGAUAGCCCAGAGAAAUUUGGAUUAAUACCUCAUAGUAUAUAUGAAUCACAUGGUUUAUAUAUUAAAGGUUACGGCAGAAGAUGAGUAUGCGUUCUAUUAGCUAGAUGGUGUGGUAACGGCACACCAUGGCAACGAUAGAUAGGGGCCCUGAGAGGGGGAUC